UUGAUAAGCCGACCAGGUUCCUGUCCUCAUGGUGACCUGGUGCGCAGACAGCAGCCUCAUUGGUAGUGUAGUAACCUGCUGCUCGUACAGGUGGCCCUAAGGGACCUUGGAGACAGUU
rnacentral:snoRNA from 1 species